CACACUUUUAAAAAGUUGAACAGUAAAUACGUAUUAAAAAAAACAAAAACAAAUGUGAGGCAUUUAUUCUCCCUGAACAAAAGUACUUGAUUUUUAUAGACUUUUCUUUUCUUUUUCUAGGUUUCGUGUGACGAAGUGUGAAAAACCCCCCAGGGAUCGACGCACUCUGAUAAUCACAGACUCUAAUGGGAGCGUCCCAUCAACCCCCACACAGGUGGAGCCCCACAGCCAAGCAACACUGGAACUAAAACAGGAGAUGAAAGAGAACCGGGACAAAGAGAAGCGAUAGAACUUCAGGGAGAACACAAACAUCUGGACACCCCCAUAAAGCCAGGCGAGAGCGUCCGAGACGAGCAGAUCAGGAGUGGACGCUUUACAGAGAACCAAACAUGAUGUUAAUGAGGAGGAGUAGAACCGAUCCAGAAUGAUGGAAAUACUUUCCUCCGCAGCAUCACGGCAUCCGGGGUCUUGAACCAGAGCACAAAGUUCUCCAUGAUGUGUACAUAUGUUUAUAAGGUUUUAUAGGAGGAUAUUUGAAAGAGAUUUUUAUCUAUAAUGUCGUGUUUUGCACGUCUUUAUUUAUAUGAGGAAUCUCCAGGCGUGUGAGAUGAAGGACGGCGUUCUCGGACAAAAACUAAGCAGCCAGGAAACGGACUCAAAGCCUCUGAAGAUGAAGAUGGAACCAAGUUUAUUCAGACAGGCAGAAGAAACUCAUCAUCUGGUAGUUUCUGUCGUUCUUCAAGCCCAUCAUUGUGUGUCUUAAGGUUUUUUUUUAAAGUUUGACUUCAAUAAAGUAUACCAACAAA